GCUUACGGCCGUGCCGGGCUGGGGGCGCGCGCUCUCGUCUGGUCGCGGCAGCUAAGCAGGGUCGGGCCUGGUUAGUACUUGGAUUUGAGAAUGCCUGGGAAUACCAGGUGCUGUAAACU
ensembl:rRNA 5S_rRNA 5S ribosomal RNA